rnacentral:rRNA from 1 species
AAUAGAUACCCCGGUAGUCCACGCCGUAAACGUUGGGCGCUAGAUGUGGGGACCAUUCCACGGUUUCCGUGUCGCAGCUAACGCAUUAAGCGCCCCGCCUGGGGAGUACGGCCGCAAGGCUAAAACUCAAAGGAAUUGACGGGGGCCCGCACAAGCGGCGGAGCAUGCGGAUUAAUUCGAUGCAACGCGAAGAACCUUACCAAGGCUUGACAUAUACCUGAAAAGGCUGGAAACAGUCUCCCCGCAAGGCAGUACACGGAGUAGGGUGCAUGGUUGUCGUCAGCUCGUGUCGUGAGAUGUUGGGUUAAGUCCCGCAACGAGCGCAACCCUCGUUCUAUGUUGCCAGCGCGUAAUGGCGGGAACUCAUAGGAGACUGCCGGGGUCAACUCGGAGGAAGGUGGGGAUGACGUCAAAUCAUCAUGCCCCUUAUGUCUUGGGCUUCACGCAUGCUACAAUGGCCGGUACAAAGGGCUGCAAUACCGCAAGGUGGAGCGAAUCCCAAAAAGCCGGUCUCAGUUCGGAUUGAGGU